rnacentral:sRNA from 1 species
UAAUGACCAGACUCACAACGUUUAUGAA